CCGCAAAUUUUGAUAAAGAUUUUCGGUAAUAUCGCAAAUUAGGAUGUUUGACACAUAAACAACUAGUUUUAAAUAAAAACAAAAUCCCGGAAUGGGCUUUAUUAUUCGUUAUUCGAUAAAACUGGAUUUGGUAUUUGUAUAUAAUAUGUCGGUAUUCAAACAGAUAUAAUAAAUCAUCGGCUGCCCACAAUUGGCUAUCAGAAACACCGUUGAAUCUUGUGAUCAAAAUUUACUCCUAUGUAAGAGAGUACCUACUUAUUUUUAAACUGUAUACACGCUUUACGACAGAGGGUCUGGGCCGAAUAAUAAUAUAAUAUUUGAAGAUUAUUUUCUUCUAUAUAUCAACAAAUUUGUUAUGACUUUUUGUCUGUGACUUUUUAUCCGUUUACUAAACUUCUACUGGUAAACAUAAAAUCUGUUACUAAUGCAUGAAUGCCGAAAUACUGCACUACAUUUAUCUGACAAUAUCUUUCAACCAGGCUUUGAACGAAAUAG
rnacentral:lncRNA from 1 species